AAUACGGAAUACGGGUGCUUGAGUGAAUCAGGCUGAGAUAGCAGAUGCGGAUCCCGCUGCUGACCGUCAAUCUGAACUGGGUAAUGCCAGCGUAGAGAAUAUCCCGACCCUGAAC
rnacentral:ncRNA from 2 species